rnacentral:misc_RNA from 1 species
UUUCCGUAGGUGAACCUGCGGAAGGAUCAUUAAUGAGUUGUCAUGGGGUUCGAUGCUGGCAGCCAGUUUUUGGAUGCAUGUGCUUGCCCUAACAAUCAUCUUCUUCCAAACACCUGUGCAUAUUUUUGAGGGAGUCUUGAGUUGGUUGCCGCUCUUGGGUGAUUUUCUCACAUUCCCUUAAAACAUUAUACGCUAUUAACAAUGUUGAACGUGCUCUGUGCCGCAAGGCCAUGAAUAUAAUACAACUUUUAACAACGGAUCUCUUGGCUCUC